CAUACGCUCGUCUCAAAGAUUAAGCCAUGCAUGUGUAAGUAUAAAUAAUUUUACUUUGAAACUGCGAAUGGCUCAUUAUAUCAGUUAUAGUUUAUUAGAAAUAUUUUACUACUUGGAUAACCGUAGUAAUUCUAGGGCUAAUACAUGAAUAAAACCUCAACUUCGGAAGAGGUGUGUUUAUUAGUAUGAAAACCAUAUAUCUUCGGAUAUAAUAGUGAGUAAUAAUAACCUUUCGUAUCGUAUGUCGUAAGAUAACGAUAGUUCUUUCAAGUUUCUGCCCUAUCAGCUUUCGAUGGUAGUAUAUGGGACUACCAUGGCAGUAACGGGUAACGAAGAAUUUGGGUUCGAUUUCGGAGAGGGAGCCUGAGAGAUGGCUACCACAUCCAAGGAAGGCAGCAGGCGCGUAAAUUACCCAAUCCUGACAUAGGGAGGUAGUGACAAUAAAUCACAAUGCGGAACUUUUAGUUUUGCAAUUGGAUUGAGAACAAUGUACAAAUGUUAUCGAUAAACAAUUGGAGG
rnacentral:rRNA from 1 species